CCUACGGGAGGCAGCAGUAAGGAAUAUUGGGCAAUGGAGGCAACUCUGACCCAGCCAUGCCGCGUGGAGGAUGAAGGUCCUCUGGAUUGUAAACUUCUUUUAUAUGGGACGAAAAAGGGCCUUCCAGGUCAACUGACGUACCAUAGAAUAGCCCCG
rnacentral:rRNA from 1 species